UGGCCAGUCUUUUCUGAUGAUCUUCUUGGCUUUCCUGCGACACCUGGUGGUGGUGUUCUGUAGGACAGGCAGUGUGCAUAAAUGGCGCGCUAGGCUGCACGUAUAGCCUUCAGGAAUUUAUUCAGCACUCUGAGGUUGACGAGUCGCUGCGGUGGCUUCACUACGGUGUCCGUGUGGUUAGACCAUUUCAGUUUUUCUGAGAUGUGUACGCCGAGGAAUUUGAAGUUAUUGACUGUCGUGUCCAGCUGGGAUCCUCCUGAAUUCCACAAUCAGCUCCUUUGUUUUGCUAAACGUUGAGGGAGAGGUUGAGGUUGUUCUUGAUAACUCAAGUAGAUAUUUUCUACUUUUUAUUUGAAUGAAAAACACAUCAUGAUAUAUGAGUUGUGGUUUUGUAGGUGAUCAGAGAUGAGGGAACUGGGUCCAGCAUGGAUAAAUGGAGAGAGAUUAAGACGUUUCUGACGGAUGUCCUGUCAGCGGACCCCAGUCACAUCCUUCAGCAUGUAGACCGAGCAGAAACUGGUGACUUUACACGAAUACAGGAAGCUGCAAAUCUUCAGUAAAUCAGCCCCGGAAGAUUCAUCCGUUUGCUGGAUACACACACCAGUAAGGAUGGUGAGACCUGCAGUAAAUUCCUGGCCCUGCUACAGCAGCCAGACAUCAGAACACCUUUCCCCAGACUGAAGAAAAGCAAACGUUUGAGGUGUAAUGCACUCAUUUUAAAUCACGUUGCAGGUCUGUUUUUUUUUAAGUUUUGUGAUUCAACUUCUGUUUUUGUAUGUAUGUUGAUUGUUGUCUAUGCUGCACAAAUCAUUUCUUAAUUGGAGCAUAAUACAGUUUUCUAAUCUAACGACAACUGCGACAUAGCUCCGGCACCCAGCGACCCCAUACGCUGUCCCAACCUCUUCCUCCACAGUCCACACCCCAGGUCCAACCACAGAGUUGAAGACGGGGGACCAGGGACAAUCUUUUCAAGCAGUUCCACAGCAAGUGGACAUUCUCAUUUUUUUAACCAGAGCAACGAAGGCGUUUUUCAGGAGCCGAGAAGAAGGUCUUCAGUUAAGCUGAAGGGAAUCUCAUUUGAGAAACUUGGCAUAAACAAGUGCAAAGAUGGCAUAAAGUUCAGAAACAAAUCCAAAUGGACUUUCAUGAAAGGCAAAAAGACUACAGAAGGUAGCAAAUAUAAGAAAUAUUUUUAAUUAAAGAUGUUAGACCUAUGUCAGAACACGCUCUCUCACUGACAGUGUUGUGGAGUUCAAUGUCCUGACCAAAGGGAAUUAAUGAAUUACCUAGCCUACAUUAUGGGAAAAAAGUGUUUUAUUUGAAGUAGCCAUGAGAGCUGCACCGUGAAAGCAAUCACCAUAUCGAACCACUUACAGUAGGCCUACUGCAGCUCACAGGAAAUUGAGUAGCUAUAGAUUGACUGUGUAUUAGCCUACAGUUUG